rnacentral:rRNA from 1 species
AGAGUUUGAUCCUGGCUCAGGAUGAACGCUAGCGACAGGCUUAACACAUGCAAGUCGAGGGGCAGCACGAUGUAGCAAUACAUUGGUGGCGACCGGCGCACGGGUGAGUAACGCGUAUGCAACCUACCUAUCAGAGGGGAAUAACCCGGCGAAAGUCGGACUAAUACCGCAUAAAACAGGGGUUCCACAUGGAAAUAUUUGUUAAAGAAUUAUCGCUGAUAGAUGGGCAUGCGUUCCAUUAGAUAGUUGGUGAGGUAACGGCUCACCAAGUCCACGAUGGAUAGGGGUUCUGAGAGGAAGGUCCCCCACACUGGUACUGAGACACGGACCAGACUCCUACGGGAGGCAGCAGUGAGGAAUAUUGGUCAAUGGGCGAGAGCCUGAACCAGCCAAGUCGCGUGAAGGAUGAAGGAUCUAUGGUUUGUAAACUUCUUUUAUAUGGGAAUAAAGUGAGGAACGUGUUCCUUUUUGUAUGUACCAUAUGAAUAAGCAUCGGCUAACUCCGUGCCAGCAGCCGCGGUAAUACGGAGGAUGCGAGCGUUAUCCGGAUUUAUUGGGUUUAAAGGGUGCGUAGGUGGUUAAUUAAGUCAGCGGUGAAAGUUUGUGGCUCAACCAUAAAAUUGCCGUUGAAACUGGUUGACUUGAGUAUAUUUGAGGUAGGCGGAAUGCGUGGUGUAGCGGUGAAAUGCAUAGAUAUCACGCAGAACUCCGAUUGCGAAGGCAGCUUACUAAACUAUAACUGACACUGAAGCACGAAAGCGUGGGGAUCAAACAGGAUUAGAUACCCUGGUAGUCCACGCAGUAAACGAUGAUUACUAGCUGUUUGCGAUACACAGUAAGCGGCACAGCGAAAGCGUUAAGUAAUCCACCUGGGGAGUACGCCGGCAACGGUGAAACUCAAAGGAAUUGACGGGGGCCC